UAAUACGGAGGAUCCAAGCGUUAUCCGGAAUCAUUGGGUUUAAAGGGUCCGUAGGCGGGCCUGUAAGUCAGUGGUGAAAGCCCAUCGCUCAACGAUGGAACGGCCAUUGAUACUGCAGGCCUUGAAUUACUGUGAAGUAACUAGAAUAUGUAGUGUAGCGGUGAAAUGCUUAGAUAUUACAUGGAAUACCAAUUGCGAAGGCAGGUUACUAACAGUGGAUUGACGCUGAUGGACGAAAGCGUGGGUAGCGAACAGGAUUAGAUACCCUGGUAGUCCACGCCGUAAACGAUGGAUACUAGCUGUUCGGCGCAAGCUGAGUGGCUAAGCGAAAGUGAUAAGUAUCCCACCUGGGGAGUACGGGCGCAAGCCUG
rnacentral:rRNA from 1 species